rnacentral:misc_RNA from 1 species
CGACACGUUAGCAAAUUAGAAAUAAGUCGCCGCCUUAUCGAAUAACGAACGCAAGAGGGAUUGGUUUCAGGUUAGGCUAUAGAUUUCGAGCGAGCGCAGCGAGCGAGGGACGCGUAAAGGUGUGUCGCAAACCAACGGUUUGGCACAUAGGGACAUUGAAAUAUUCGCACCAGCCCGAGGAGCCGGAAGUCUUUAUCGAAUUGCGUACUGACGAAAGUUUACAGUUU